UACGUAGGGGGCGAGCGUUGUCCGGAAUGGCUGGGCGUAAAGGGUGCGUAGGCGGUCGGAUAAGUUAGAGGUGAAAUCCCGAGGCUCAACUUCGGAAUUGCCUCUGAUACUGGUUUGCUAGCGAGUAGAUGCUGUAGGCGGAAUGUGUGGUGUAGCGGUGAAAUGCAUAGAGAUCACACAGAACACCGAUUGCGAAGGCAGCUUACAAAUCUAUAUCGGACGCUGAGGCACGAAAGCGUGGGGAGCAAACAGG
rnacentral:rRNA from 1 species